GUUGUCCCAGGACCCGGAGAUCAUGACAGGAGCCAAAAUCAAGAGUUGGACGUUCAACUGACGGAGACCCCCAGGUGGCAAAGUUCACAGGAAAGCAAGGCAAAAAACAAGAGCAAAAAUGAAACUCGAGGCUUGGAUUCAGGAAAUCUACUUUCUGGAGGAGGCAACGCUAACAUUCUGUGCACGAGCCCACUACAAAGACAGACAUCUGGUUUUAUUCUCCUCCUUUUAGGGGAACAGUCUCAAGCAGAACAUCAACUGAGAAAUUCCCAGAAUGAUCUAGCCCUCGAUUAUCUAAACCAAUGGAUUUAAAACUUUAAUACAUAAGACGUUAUGGGGAUGAGGGGAAAACAUGUUUGGGGCUCCCUCUGCCAAGAUCCUGAUUUAACAGAUUUUUAGGGAAAGCUGGAAAGAUUUUUAAGAAGUAUUCUAAGUGAUUCUGAAGCUGGUGUUUCAAAGACCCCAUAGGUGAACCCUGACACGCAGCUUGGACAGAAUGUACAAGGAGGAUGAAAAAACACACUACCCAGAAUCUGUAGAUGUGAUCCACUCUGUAAUAGGAUAGUAGUAAGUAAUAAAGAUAAAUGAGCAGUCACAAGACGUAUCUUCAUCUAUGACAAUGUAAUGAUCCCUCUUCUGGGAAUAAAUCAAAUGUUGCUGUUAAUGAGUACACAAAUAGCUAAAAAUACAUGUAGUCCUUGAUGGAGAAAUGGAUUUUAUUAAAUUCAAUGCGUUCCUUCUGCAAAAUAAUGGAGUGAAAUUCAAUGUGCCAUUUAUGAAAUGAUUCUGUCUGUAGGUGAAAAAUAAAAAUAAAAAAAAUGUCAGACACUUAUAAUAACAGCAAGUU